UAGCUCAGUUGGUAGAGCAGUUGACUUUUAAUCAAUUGGUCGCAGGUUCGAAUCCUGN
rnacentral:tRNA from 1 species